GAGGACCGUGAGCUGUUUUCCUCAGUCUGUUGUGAAUCCCAGCACGUUUUCCGCGGUGUUUCUUGAUCCGUUGCCUUGGGUGGUUAUUCAGCCGUUGUUCAUCUCGACGUUCCAGAGAAUCUCAGAUGGCCACAAUGGAUUGGAGGAUAAAGAGUCCUGAAACAGAACACAAAAGAAGAUAUUUUGAAGAACAAUGGAGAUACACAGUUCAUAAUAUGAAGACAGAGAAGAAUUGUCACUUCUGGCUUCUAGCAAACAGCAGCGACUCCUUUGUCCCCUAGUAAACGGCAGCUGCCCCUCUGUGACCUGUAUAGUGGACAGCAGCAAAUUGAUCCAUCUCUCUGCCAAGUCACUCCAGCUACACCUCAGCUAGCAGCAGCUGCCACCCAUCCUCAUUGCCAUCGCAAUCCACCUCAGAAGGACUCUUUGAUAGCAUCUUCCUCGUGGGUUCAGCACCAGUUUAACACAGUUCAUAUGAUA
ensembl:lncRNA